ensembl:rRNA 5S_rRNA 5S ribosomal RNA
AGCCACAGCCAUAUCACCCUGCAGCCCAAGAGUGGUUAUUCACUGAAGCUAAGCAGGGCUGAGCCUGGUCAGUACCUUGAUGGGAGACCACAUAGAAAAACUAGUUUGCUGUCGGAA